ensembl:lncRNA
GCUAUGUGCUUGUCGUCCCAGGAGAGCCACCAUUCAGACUGUCAUAGCAAGCUCAGGCAAGCCUGAGCUUGGUUAAGGCAACACAAAGAGGAUCCUGUGACCACUCAUUUUAAGCUGGAGCUCUUUCUGGCAUUUCAAUAAAACGGUGUCAGUUCUGAGUCCCUGUCAAGGAGAGAGUGGAAUAAAACAGUAGGAUUGUGCCAUGUUGGCUCAAGUGAGAGUUUUGUAGAGGUGUGGAGGAUGGUGAGAAAAGGUCCAGGAUUAAUUGGGAAAGAAAGACAGAAAGGGUAUUGGGGGUAGCAUUACUCUGAAGGCUGAAGCGGAGGAGGCGACAGAAGACAGUGUGAGAGAGAUUCUGGUGAAGAUUCUCAAAGCCCAAAUUGAUACAGAAAAUUAAAACCUCAUCUUCUAUAACUACAUCUGAAGUGCAAAUCAACAAGAAGAGACCUAAAGACUUUAAAAUACCUUUUGGAAAAGCCCACAGCUCUGUCUCAUAUAUUUGACUCCUCAGGAAGAUGAUUUUCAGUGAAGAAAGAAGUUUGGGAAGGAAGGAAAACAAAAUUCAUUCUUGCCUUAACCCAGCUAAUGUUGUACAAAGAAAUUCAAAGGACUUUGCCAGGCACAAGAAAAGAACAGAAUACAAGAAUUCUGUCCACCAGAAGAGUGAAUUAAAGACUCGAGAGUGGAAAAUGCAGUGUUAUGCAGAUGAGGGCAGGUCUCUUCUACCAACAUGUGCCCUUACUGAGAAGGAGGUAAGGAAGCCUUCCUUUACUCUGCCAGAUAAAACAGCAGCAACCUCAUGCUCUGCAAAGAUUUUCCAGACUACAAACCAUUUUAGGAACUUGGUGAGUACUUUUACCAGCUCUGAAAACCAGCCCCUUGUAUUUCUCAAGAACACCCACCUCUCCGGCAACAGGAUGAGUCAGACAGCAUCCAGGAGCUUCAUUCCAGGAAUCUGGCCCACUCAGAAACCCAGAAAAGAAGCACAGAGAACUGACAUUUUCUUGAUAAAAGGGAAAGCACAGUGAGCAAACACUCUGGACAAAGUCUACCCUGAACAUUGAACAAAAGGCCCUAAAAUUGCCAUGGGCUUCUCGUCAACUGUUUGCCUUAAUGAACUAUACAGAUUAGUAAAAGAGACAUCUGCUCCCACUUUUCUAUUACUAAUAUCACAGCUUCCCUCAUUUAAACUGUGCAUCAGGUUUGUUUCUGAGUCAAUCCUUGUCACAACUAUGGGUUAAUUUCUGAUGUCCCAAGACAGGGCAUCCAUAUUUAUUUGUCUUAGUACCAACCAGAUAUUAAAUCCCAGGGCAAAAGCUGUAAAAACAGGAAUGGUAACAUCUUAACAUCUGUUGGAACUUCCCAAACUAAACAUGGUGAGCAAUUAUAUGGACAGCUGGCAGCUUCAGGUUCAGUCUUCCUCCAUCUGGUGGGACUGGAGGAGAGAAAACUGGAACAAUGCCAGGGUCAAGAUGCCCUAACGUAAGUGAGGAGCCUUCUACACCAAACCAACGUAAGCAUGACCUGAGGCUGACACAAGAGAAAGCUGAGCUGGUAAUUUGAGGAGAAAUGUGGGUAGUGACCACUGUCUUUCACUGGGGGACUGCCAUUUCAACUAUCCUAGUUCUCUUUGGAGUCUCUGGUGGGAAUUGAUGUCCACUGAUCAGGGCUGCAAGCAGCACAGAGCCCUUGGGGAUUUCUGUCAUGCCCAUUGCUGGAGGCAGUAUCUAGCUGAUAGUAUGCCUCCCACAAAAUAUGCUUCAGGGAAAAAAAAAAGUAUUCUGCCUCCUUCAGUCCUUUUGAGCAUGUCACUCCGUUGCUAUGUUCUCUGCACUGGGUGCCACCGAUUGCCAACACCAUUUCAACACUUCGUCUUCCCUCUGUAAAGACAGCUACCUGGCUCAGCUAAAUUAAGGACACCAGAUAAACAGAAUAAUCCUUGCGUGCAAGCUAAGAAAGCAAACGGAACAGGUGGGAAACUGCUUUCUUACUCCAAGGAAGCCAAGGGGAUUUCUGAGAUUUUCAUAUCCUGCACCAAGGAAACAGGACCUUUCAGGGAUUUUUGUGAAAAAUAAGGUACUUCUGCCCACUGCAGAGAAGCUACUAAUCCAUUGGCUCAGACACUUGCCAAGAGCUGUGGAGCAGCCAAAAUGAGUUAUCACUUUCCUUAAUUGAGAGCAGAAAGCUGAAAUCCCUUUCCCACGUAAUCACAGAGUAUCAGCUAUUCUAGGAGAAUUUGUGCUUGUUCUGUAUCCAUCAGUUCCCUUCCCUCCUCUCCAAAUUUCUAUCUGGGUAUGAGCAAUCCUUCCUGUCCAAAUCACUACAGUUUUUUUACAGAACAUGUAGGUGUAAAUAAUUAGCUUUUUCCAACAGCAGUUUCAGCAGGACAUGUCUCACUGGCCCUGGAGGUGCAGUAGCUCUUCUCCUUACCAUGGCUGCUGCUGAGCAGUUGUGUGUUGGUUUUACAUGUCUUAGUUUUUGGUGGGAAGUGAUUUUCUGUGAGAAGCUUCUGGAAGCUUCCUCCGUGCCUGGCAAAGCCAGUCCUUGGCUGGCUCUGAGAACAGACAUGCUGCUAAGCCAAUUAUAGAAUUUGGUAACGCCUCUGUAAUGACGUAUUUAAGAAGGAACUCAAAACCGUGUGCAGUUCUUCUGAGGGGUGGGGAGGCACGGCGGCCGGAGCCAUCCUGGCACUGCGAGUGUCCAUGUGGCCGGUGUGACUGUGUGGCCAGCGAGCCUUGCCUGUCGUGCCACCCUCAGCCAGGUGUGCUGCAGGCAGAAGGACAGGGGUGGCGGCAGCAGCUUCUCUCUUUCCUGCACGCUGCAUGGGGAGAGAUGUAGAAUGGUGCCAGUGCUGUGGCUGGCGGGGCCACAUGGCCUGUGGUAGAAACAUGGCAAGUGACUCCUCAGCAUGGAUCCAGAUGAGAACAACCUUUCAGCACUGUGAAACCCUACAAGGACUUUUCAAUUGACAGAACUUGAGAAUAGUACCUAUGGACGACAAUUUUCUUCCAAGCCAGAGAAUGGGAAGAGGUAAAGUCACAUGAGGAGAGCCAACAUGGCGGCACGGAGGUCAGUAAAGAAAGAGGGAGAAGAGGGAUCCAAGUGCCAAAGCUGAAAUUUUCUUCUGCAAACUGUGCUAAAAGACUAUAGUUAAAUAAGCUGUCCCCUUCGCAGCUCAUCAGAUCCCCAAAAGACAUGCAGAGGUCCAAAAGGAUGCCAAAAGGAGCUAUAAAAACCUGUACUCAGGUGGACAAGUAACUCACAGGCAAUAGUUUCAGGAAGCCUGUUUUGCCCAUGAGCCUGUUCAUGUUUGCAGAAGACUGGGUGGGGCUGCUGCUCAUGAGAAGAGAACCAAGCUGGAGAAGUUCAGAGAGAACUAUCUCCCAUAGGGGAACCUCACAGUACAACAGAAGAAAGACUUUUUCCCUAAACAAACAGAAGAAAAUUCAAAGUAAUGAACUGACUAAAACUCCUGUGUUUUGUCUUCCUGAGCUGUCAAUGGGAAAGAGGGAGGGGCUGGGAAAAAAAAGUGUUCUAGAAGUUUCUUUUAGUUCUUAUUACCCUCUUUUAAAUCUCUUAAUAAUGCAUUUUUCUUUAUACCUUUUAAAUAUGACCCUUGGUGUUUUUUUUCCUGAUCCUUAUCUCAACCCAUGAACCCUUUGGGCUUUUUCCCUUCCUCUGCUCAACUAUAGCAUGAAUGAACAGUUUUUGUAGAUGCCUGGUCUUUCAACCAUUUCAAACCAUGACAAGUUGUAACAUACUGCUGAAGGGAUUUUCCGAGAUGUCUUUCACUAGUGGCCAACUCAGAGCAAAACUCACUGUGAAAUCCUGGCCUGAACAUAGCCCAGUAUAGUUCCAUGUAUGUUUCUUUUCACCACAGCAAAUGACAGCGCAGGCAAAAUGAACUCCACCUCCAUCACUUGGAGGUUGCUUUGAGUAAGUCAGCGCUUUGCAGAGACUUCCACUUUUUUGAUUGUGCUCUCCCUCUCUCACCUCUCUGUUUCUGACAAACAAAAACUGUGAGGUGUCUGUAUGAGUUGGCAGGCUGCCUAGCUGCCCUUGUCAAAAUGGCUUGGUAAAUUUGACCUGAGUACUGAAUGUUUACACAAGGAUUGCUUCAACUUAAUGAGCUGCUUGAUACUCAGGGCAUAUAAUUUCUGUGCACUGAGAGCUUAAAUAAAGGGCCACAUUCUGAAUUUUGAAAACA